CCAUACGUGGCAUCUUUUUAUUGGGUUAACUUAUUGACAAAACCAAAAAAAAAAGCUUCUCGCGUUUAUUCUUUUCUUCUUCUCUCUUUUCCUCUUGUGUCGCCGACGGAGACACAAAAUCGAUUGAAAAUUUCGACGCCACAAAAUCGAUUGGAAGUCUUAGCUAGGAAUCGAGAAUGCUAUAGCUAAAAGUUGAUUGAUCUUCAUAUUCGAAAUUUACACAGCAGGAGCUUCCAGCUUGCAAACCAAUUCUUACGCCUGGUUGGGUGAUUUCAACUCUUGUUUUGUGGCCCUUGUCACGGCUUCGAAUCUACACAAUGAUGCCUGGUGCUUAAACUUUUUAUUGCAUACUCUGGUUUAAUCACUCACUAUACCAAUAUAUAUGCUAAUAAUUGUGGUUCUAAUCACUAAUCAAUGAAAUGCUGUUUCUAAAGUUGCGUACUUGGUUUAGAUCCUAUUGUGGUUCAGUUUGGGAGAGAACUUGUUGAAAUAAAAUCAAAAGGUUAUCUUUCACAAGAUCUAACAAGUUCAGUUGGUCUUGAAAGGAAAUGCCGUGAGAUUGUUGUAACAGAUGAAAGGGAGAGAAGAUCGUGGGCAUUGGAUCUGAGGUUCUAAGAAUCUAAUUACAAAGUGAAAAAGACAGAAUAGAGACCUCUGUAGGAGUCGGUCGAUCGAAAGCCAACAGCCUCUGCAAAAGACGGAGUGCUAAUGGAUCUGCUUUAGAGAAUUUUUGCGAGAAGGUGACAUGAUUUUUCUUCCUCAUUUCAGUCAAGUAUUUUCUAGCUUUAUCAUUACGAACCUGCAUCAGAGAAAUAAAUGUUUAGCUAUACAGUUCAAUAUAUAUACGUACUCCAGAAAUUAAUGUGAAGAAUAAAAACGGAUCAUACUCCAGAAAUUGCAUCUGAUUUUGGUGUGCCAAGAAGAUCAGUAAUCAACUCCAACUGAUGGACAACACUUUUUCCCGGAAACAAUGGCUUCCAUGUUAGUACCUCUGCAAAGAUGCAGCCAAUGCUCCAAACGUCGAUAGCUGGAGUGUACUGCAGAAUAAUAUUAACUAUCAACGAUGUAACAUAAGGAGACAAGAACAACAAAGAAAACUGUAUGGAGCUUCACCAAGCCAAGUUGAUUAUAUACAUCUGUUGAAACCGAGUUGAUCAUGCCUCACCCGGAUGUCAAGCCAAUGGCAUAUGCAAACAAUGAUUAAAGAUGUUCUCUCUUCCUUUAAGCUUAUCCAGCAACAGUUAUUCUCAUGUAGAUUCAGUUUUUCCCUUUUUCAAUUUUUUUUUGUUUUAGAAACCCACUUAAGGAUUCCAUCAAUGGUCAAUAAAAUUUUCAAAAACUCUAAAAAA